rnacentral:rRNA from 1 species
AACGAACGCUGGCGGCAUGGAUUAGGCAUGCAAGUCGAACGGAGCAAUACGCAUUUUUUGCGUAUUCUCAGUGGCGCAAGGGUGAGUAACGCGUGAGUAACUUGCCUGAAGGUUUGGGAUAACCCUUCGAAAGGGGGGCUAAUACCAGAUGUAGCUAUAUUUACGCAUGUAGAUAUAGUUAAAGAUUUAUCGCCUUCAGAUGGGCUCGCGUCCCAUUAUGCUAGUUGGUAAGGUAACGGCUUACCGAGGCUAAGACGGGUAGGUGGUCUGAGAGGAUGGUCACCCACACUGGGACUGAGACACUGCCCAGACUCCUACGGGAGGCUGCAGUCGAGAAUCUUCCGCAAUGGGCGAAAGCCUGACGGAGCAAUGCCGCGUGCAGGAUGAAGGCCCUUGGGUCGUAAACUGCUGUCACUGGGGAUGAAGAAUGACAGUACCCGGAGAGGAAGCCACGGCCAACUACGUGCCAGCAGCCGCGGUAAUACGUAGGUGGCGAGCGUUGUUCGGAUUUAUUGGGCGUAAAGGGUCCGUAGGGGGUAGAGCAAGUCUGAUGUGAAAUCCCGCGACUCAACCGCGGACCUGCAUUAGAAACUGUUUUACUAGAGGACCGGAGAGGAAAGUGGAAUUCCUGGUGUAGCGGUGGAAUGCGUAGAUAUCAGGAAGAACACCGAUAGCGAAGGCAGCUUUCUGGACGGUACCUGACCCUGAGGGACGAAAGCGUGGUUAGCAAACAGGAUUAGAUACCCUGGUAGUCCACGCCGUAAACUUUGUGCGCUUGAUCUGGGGUGCAUCAACCCAUUCCGGAUCGUAGCUAACGCGUUAAGCGCACCGCCUGGGGACUACGGCCGCAAGGCUAAAACUCAAAGGAAUUGACGGGGGCCCGCACAAGCGGUGGAGCAUGUGGCUUAAUUCGAGGCAACGCGAAGAACCUUACCUGGACUUGACAUAUAUCCGCUUUUCCGUGAAAGCGGAAUUUCCUUUUGGACGGAUAUACAGGUGCUGCAUGGCUGUCGUCAGCUCGUGCCGUGAGGUGUUCGGUUAAGUCCGGCAACGAGCGCAACCCGUAUCGUCAGUUGCCAUCAGGUAAUGCUGGGGACUCUGACGAGACUGCCCGUGUUAAGCGGGAGGAAGGCGCGGACGACGUCAAGUCAGUAUGGCCCUUAUGUCCAGGGCUGCACACGUGCUACAAUGAAUGGUACAAUGGGAAGCGAUACCGCGAGGUGGAGCCAAUCCUUAAAGCCAUUCUCAGUACGGAUUGUGGUCUGCAACUCGACUGCAUGAAGUUGGAAUCGCUAGUAAAGGCGUAUCAGCCAUGGCGCCUUGAAUACGUUCCCGGGCCUUGUACACACCGCCCGUCACAUCAUGGGAGCUGACUGCACCCGAAGUCGCUGACUCAACCUUUUAUUUUUAUAGAGGGGAGAGGCGCCGAAGGUGUGGUCAGUAACUGGGAUG